AUUGAACGCUGGCGGCAUGCUUUACACAUGCAAGUCGAACGGCAGCGCGGUCUUCGGCCUCUCUUCCGGUUGCCGACUGGUGGGUGAUUCAUCAGUACAUCCCCAUUUAUUUUUUCUAGCCCGGCAACGUCCGGAUUCAUACCCCAUUCCCCCUUACGAUCUACGCGUGGGAGCGGGAGGCCUCGCGCUCUUGCGGCGUCCGAUGUCGGAUUAGCUAGUUGGUGGGGUAAAGGCCUACCAAGGCGACGAUCCGUAGCUGGUCUGAGAGGACGACCAGCCACACUGGGACUGAGACACGGUCCAGACUCCUACGGGAGGCAGCAGUGGGGAAUAUUGGACAAUGGGCGCAAGCCUGAUCCAGCCAUGCCGCGUGGGUGAAGAAGGCCUUCGGGUUGUAAAGCGCUUUUGUUGGGGAAGAAAAGCUGCGGGUUAAUACCCCGGGGUGCUGACGGUACCCGAAGAAUAAGCACCGGCUAACUACGUG
rnacentral:rRNA from 1 species